AUUGAACGCUGGCGGCAGGCCUAACACAUGCAAGUCGAGCGGAUGAAGGGAGCUUGCUCCUGGAUUCAGCGGCGGACGGGUGAGUAAUGCCUAGGAAACUGCCUGGUAGUGGGGGAUAACGUCCGGAAACGGGCGCUAAUACCGCAUACGUCCUGAGGGAGAAAGUGGGGGAUCUUCGGACCUCACGCUAUCAGAUGAGCCUAGGUCGGAUUAGCUAGUUGGUGGGGUAAAGGCGUUCUAAGGCGACGAUCCGUAACUGGUCUGAGAGGAUGAUCAGUCACACUGGAACUGAGACACGGUCCAGACUCCUACGGGAGGCAGCAGUAGGGAAUGUUGGAAAAUGGGCGAAAGCCUGAUCCAGCCAUGCCGCGUGUGUGAAGAAGGUCUUCGGAUUGUAAAGCUCUUUAAGUUGGGGGGAAGGGCAGUAAGCUAAUACCUUGCUGUUUUGACGUUACCAACAGAAUAAGCACCGGCUAACUUCGUG
rnacentral:rRNA from 1 species